ensembl:lncRNA
CAGUUGUAGGGUGUUUUUUCCUUGUCCUCUGCCAAACACGAGCAGUUUUCCCCAUUUACAUAUUGAUUUAUGUCUGGGGUGAGCAGGUUAAUUAAAUGUGAAUUGUAAGCCAGAAACAAAAUAUUGAGCGUGCAGGACAGGGGAGAGAAGUCAGUCCUUUAGAUGUUAAAACAGCAAUCAAUACAGCAUAACCAGGGAAUAUCUGUCAACACUCGGCAAACGGAUGGGAUUGAGAAUGAUCUGCAGCAGGAUUAAGUAGCUGGCUUUAGACACCAGGGCUCAAUUUGAGGUUUUGUUGAGCAUUUGUAAUGAGACGGAGGUGCUCGUGAACUUGAAAGGGUGAAAUCUAGAGGCUGUUGUUCAGCCCUGGUUCAUUCCGGUUUAGUGGAGCACAGCCAUUGUGGGCCGACGCGUCUGGGCUGGAAAAUAAUGUUACGCGUUGUUUACUAUCUCCGGAUUUUACUCACAGGGAAAAUUGAUGCUACUUUUGAUGCAAACUGCCAAGGCCAGGGUAAGGGACUAUUAACUCAAAGGGUGUGACAACGCAGUGGAGCUCCAAAGAUCUUGUGGCAGGACGGGGGUGAAAGAGAAAGCCUCAUCUAAUGCUAUUCAGAAAUUCUGAGGGAUUUUAUUUCCUCAUUGAGCUGUCCGACAACUGGAAAUAUUGAAAAGAAGGGGGAAUCUUUGAAUGCCUAAUCUGCAGCCCUUAAAGCCUGACAUCUUGGAAGUAGAAGCUAUUUGUGGCGUUUAAUAACAGUGGAGACGAGCCAACGGUCCCAAGGUCUCCAAAAAAAGAGCACUUCCUGCGCGUGCAACGGCUUCAGGAGACGCGGCGGCCGCCAUGCUGAGCCGGGUAAUACAUCCGUAAGCGAAGCUGAUUCACCUGAGAAGAUUCACUGGCUGCCAGUAUCGAUCCAAAGUCUGGGCUUGUGCCCAAGAAUAUCAUUCACUCCAUCAGGAGACAGCGGGACAACACGGAGGAGGCCCAUCCACCUAGCAGGAGGAACAUUUUGAUUACUAAACAACUAAAAGAAGGUGA